rnacentral:rRNA from 1 species
AACGUAGGACGCAAGCGUUAUCCGGAGUUACUGGGCGUAAAGCGCACGUAGGCGGAUCGUUAAGUCAGGGGUGAAAUCCUGGAGCUCAACUCCAGAACUGCCUUUGAUACUGAAGAUCUUGAGUUCGGGAGAGGUGAGUGGAACUGCGAGUGUAGAGGUGAAAUUCGUAGAUAUUCGCAAGAACACCAGUGGCGAAGGCGGCUCACUGGCCCGAUACUGACGCUGAGGCACGAAAGCGUGGGGAGCAAACAGGG